UCCGGUUUAUCACCGGCAGUCUCGUUAGAGUCCCCAACUAAAUGAUGGUAACUAACGACAAGGGUUGCGCUCGUUGCGGGACUUAACCCAACAUCUCACGACACGAGCUGACGACAGCCAUGCAGCACCUCGGUAGCAUCGUGUUGCCACAGCCCCUGUUUCCAGGAGUUUACACUACCGUUCGAGCCCAGGUAAGGUUCUUCGCGUUGCGUCGAAUUAAACAACAUCAUCCACCGCUUGUGCGGGUCCCCGUCAAUUCCUUUGAGUUUUAAUCUUGCGACCGUACUCCCCAGGCGGUCAACUUCACGCGUUAGCUGCGGUACCAAGGAAUUGCUCCCCCAACACCUAGUUGACAUCGUUUAGGGCGUGGACUAC
rnacentral:misc_RNA from 1 species